rnacentral:rRNA from 1 species
GAUGAACGCUGGCGGCGUGCCUAAUACAUGCAAGUCGAGCGAAUGGAUUAAGAGCUUGCUCUUAUGAAGUUAGCGGCGGACGGGUGAGUAACACGUGGGUAACCUGCCCAUAAGACUGGGAUAACUCCGGGAAACCGGGGCUAAUACCGGAUAACAUUUUGAUCCGCAUGGGUCGAAAUUGAAAGGCGGCUUCGGCUGUCACUUAUGGAUGGACACGCGUCGCAUUAGCUAGUUGGUGAGGUAACGGCUCACCAAGGCAACGAUGCGUAGCCGACCUGAGAGGGUGAUCGGCCACACUGGGACUGAGACACGGCCCAGACUCCUACGGGAGGCAGCAGUAGGGAAUCUUCCGCAAUGGACGAAAGUCUGACGGAGCAACGCCGCGUGAGUGAUGAAGGCUUUCGGGUCGUAAAACUCUGUUGUUAGGGAAGAACAAGUGCUAGUUGAAUAAGCUGGCACCUUGACGGUACCUAACCAGAAAGCCACGGCUAACUACGUGCCAGCCGCCGCGGUAA